GGGGUUGUGACUCAGCGGUAGGGUGCUCUCCUAGCAUGUGUGAGACCCUGGGUUCUAUCCACAGCACCACA
rnacentral:tRNA from 1 species